rnacentral:rRNA from 1 species
UUAAGCGACUAAGCGUACACGGUGGAUGCCCUGGCAGUCAGAGGCGAUGAAGGACGUGCUAAUCUGCGAAAAGCGUCGGUAAGGUGAUAUGAACCGUUAUAACCGGCGAUGUCCGAAUGGGGAAACCCAGUGCAAUUCGUUGCACUAUCGUUAACUGAAUACAUAGGUUAACGAGGCGAACCGGGGGAACUGAAACAUCUAAGUACCCCGAGGAAAAGAAAUCAACCGAGAUUCCCCCAGUAGCGGCGAGCGAACGGGGAGCAGCCCAGAGUCUGAAUCAGCUUGUGUGUUAGUGGAACGGUCUGGAAAGUCCGACGGUACAGGGUGAUAGUCCCGUACACCAAAAUGCACAGGCUGUGAACUCGAAGAGUAGGGCGGGACACGUGGUAUCCUGUCUGAAUAUGGGGGGACCAUCCUCCAAGGCUAAAUACUCCUGACUGACCGAUAGUGAACCAGUACCGUGAGGGAAAGGCGAAAAGAACCCCGGCGAGGGGAGUGAAAAAGAACCUGAAACCGUGUACGUACAAGCAGUGGGAGCACCUUCGGGUGUGACUGCGUACCUUUUGUAUAAUGGGUCAGCGACUUAUAUUCUGUAGCAAGGUUAACCGUAUAGGGGAGCCGCAGGGAAACCGAGUCUUAACUGGGCGUUAAGUUGCAGGGUAUAGACCCGAAACCCGGUGAUCUAGCCAUGGGCAGGUUGAAGGUUGGGUAACACUAACUGGAGGACCGAACCGACUAAUGUUGAAAAAUUAGCGGAUGACUUGUGGCUGGGGGUGAAAGGCCAAUCAAACCGGGAGAUAGCUGGUUCUCCCCGAAAGCUAUUUAGGUAGCGCCUCGUGAAUUCAUCUUCGGGGGUAGAGCACUGUUUCGGCUAGGGGGUCAUCCCGACUUACCAACCCGAUGCAAACUACGAAUACCGAAGAAUGUUAUCACGGGAGACACACGGCGGGUGCUAACGUCCGUCGUGAAGAGGGAAACAACCCAGACCGCCAGCUAAGGUCCCAAAGUCAUGGUUAAGUGGGAAACGAUGUGGGAAGGCACAGACAGCCAGGAUGUUGGCUUAGAAGCAGCCAUCAUUUAAAGAAAGCGUAAUAGCUCACUGGUCGAGUCGGCCUGCGCGGAAGAUGUAACGGGGCUAAACCAUGCACCGAAGCUGCGGCAGCGACACUAUGUGUUGUUGGGUAGGGGAGCGUUCUGUAAGCCUGCGAAGGUGGCCUGUGAGGGUUGCUGGAGGUAUCAGAAGUGCGAAUGCUGACAUAAGUAACGAUAAAGCGGGUGAAAAGCCCGCUCGCCGGAAGACCAAGGGUUCCUGUCCAACGUUAAUCGGGGCAGGGUGAGUCGACCCCUAAGGCGAGGCCGAAAGGCGUAGUCGAUGGGAAACAGGUUAAUAUUCCUGUACUUGGUGUUACUGCGAAGGGGGGACGGAGAAGGCUAUGUUAGCCGGGCGACGGUUGUCCCGGUUUAAGCAUGUAGGCUGGUUAUCCAGGCAAAUCCGGAUAAUCAAGGCUGAGGUGUGAUGACGAGGCACUACGGUGCUGAAGUAACAAAUGCCCUGCUUCCAGGAAAAGCCUCUAAGCAUCAGGUAACAUCAAAUCGUACCCCAAACCGACACAGGUGGUCAGGUAGAGAAUACCAAGGCGCUUGAGAGAACUCGGGUGAAGGAACUAGGCAAAAUGGUGCCGUAACUUCGGGAGAAGGCACGCUGGUGUGUAGGUGAAGCCCCUGCGGGUGGAGCUGAGACCAGUCGAAGAUACCAGCUGGCUGCAACUGUUUAUUAAAAACACAGCACUGUGCAAACACGAAAGUGGACGUAUACGGUGUGACGCCUGCCCGGUGCCGGAAGGUUAAUUGAUGGGGUUAUCCGUAAGGAGAAGCUCUUGAUCGAAGCCCCGGUAAACGGCGGCCGUAACUAUAACGGUCCUAAGGUAGCGAAAUUCCUUGUCGGGUAAGUUCCGACCUGCACGAAUGGCGUAAUGAUGGCCAGGCUGUCUCCACCCGAGACUCAGUGAAAUUGAACUCGCUGUGAAGAUGCAGUGUACCCGCGGCAAGACGGAAAGACCCCGUGAACCUUUACUAUAGCUUGACACUGAACAUUGAGCCUUGAUGUGUAGGAUAGGUGGGAGGCUUUGAAGCGUGGACGCCAGUCUGCGUGGAGCCAACCUUGAAAUACCACCCUUUAAUGUUUGAUGUUCUAACGUUGGCCCCUGACCGGGGUUGCGGACAGUGUCUGGUGGGUAGUUUGACUGGGGCGGUCUCCUCCCAAAGCGUAACGGAGGAGCACGAAGGUUAGCUAAUCCUGGUCGGACAUCAGGAGGUUAGUGCAAUGGCAUAAGCUAGCUUGACUGCGAGCGUGACGGCGCGAGCAGGUGCGAAAGCAGGUCAUAGUGAUCCGGUGGUUCUGAAUGGAAGGGCCAUCGCUCAACGGAUAAAAGGUACUCCGGGGAUAACAGGCUGAUACCGCCCAAGAGUUCAUAUCGACGGCGGUGUUUGGCACCUCGAUGUCGGCUCAUCACAUCCUGGGGCUGAAGUAGGUCCCAAGGGUAUGGCUGUUCGCCAUUUAAAGUGGUACGCGAGCUGGGUUUAGAACGUCGUGAGACAGUUCGGUCCCUAUCUGCCGUGGGCGCUGGAGAAUUGAGGGGGGCUGCUCCUAGUACGAGAGGACCGGAGUGGACGCAUCACUGGUGUUCGGGUUGUCAUGCCAAUGGCACUGCCCGGUAGCUAAAUGCGGAAGAGAUAAGUGCUGAAAGCAUCUAAGCACGAAACUUGCCCCGAGAUGAGUUCUCCCUGAGACUUUAAGUCUCCUGAAGGAACGUUAAAGACGAUGACGUUGAUAGGCCGGGUGUGUAAGCGCAGCGAUGCGUUGAGCUAACCGGUACUAAUGAACCGUGAGGCUUAACCUU